rnacentral:tRNA from 1 species
CGGGGUGUAGUUUAAUUAAAAUGUUAAUUUUGGAGAUUAGAGAUAGAUUUAAUCUUUCCCCGA